GACGAACGCUGGCGGCGUGCUUAACACAUGCAAGUCGAACGGAAAGGCCCUGCUUUUGUGGGGUGCUCGAGUGGCGAACGGGUGAGUAACACGUGAGUAACCUGCCCUUGACUUUGGGAUAACUUCAGGAAACUGGGGCUAAUACCGGAUAGGAGCUCCUGCUGCAUGGUGGGGGUUGGAAAGUUUCGGCGGUUGGGGAUGGACUCGCGGCUUAUCAGCUUGUUGGUGGGGUAGUGGCUUACCAAGGCUUUGACGGGUGGCCGGCCUGAGAGGGUGACCGGCGACAUUGGGACUGAGAUACGGCACAGACUCCUACGGGAGGCAGCAGUGGGGAAUAUUGCACGAUGGGCGGAAGCCUGAUGCAGCAACGCCGCGUGCGGGAUGACGGCCUUCGGGUUGUAAACCGCUUUCGCCUGUGACGAAGCGUGAGUGACGGUAAUGGGUAAAGAAGCACCGGCUAACUACGUG
rnacentral:rRNA from 1 species